AUAUCGUGAUGAGGGAACUUUCAUAAAAACUCCUUGAACUGCUCCCAUGCCUCAUAUGAAGUGGUUUCAUUUCGAAUCU
rfam:Gossypium hirsutum cultivar TM-1 chromosome 23, whole genome shotgun sequence